rnacentral:rRNA from 1 species
AACGAACGCUGGCGGCAGGCCUAACACAUGCAAGUCGAGCGCCCUUUCAGGGGAGCGGCGGACGGGUGAGUAACGCGUGGGAAUAUGCCCUUCUCUACGGAAUAGCCUCGGGAAACUGAGAGUAAUACCGUAUACGCCCUGUGGGGGAAAGAUUUAUCGGGGAAGGAUUAGCCCGCGUUGGAUUAGGUAGUUGGUGGGGUAAUGGCCUACCAAGCCGACGAUCCAUAGCUGGUUUGAGAGGAUGAUCAGCCACACUGGGACUGAGACACGGCCCAGACUCCUACGGGAGGCAGCAGUGGGGAAUCUUAGACAAUGGGGGCAACCCUGAUCUAGCCAUGCCGCGUGAGUGAUGAAGGCCUUAGGGUUGUAAAGCUCUUUCAGCUGGGAAGAUAAUGACGGUACCAGCAGAAGAAGCCCCGGCUAACUCCGUG